rnacentral:rRNA from 1 species
GAUGAACGCUAGCGGGAGGCUUAACACAUGCAAGUCGAGGGGUAAAUGGUAGCAAUACUAUGAGACCGGCGGACGGGUGCGUAACGCGUAUGCAACAUACCUUGUGCAGGGGGAUAGCCCGUGGAAACGCGGAUUAAUAUUCCAUAGUCCAGCUAUAUCGCAUGGUAUAGUUGGUAAAGAUUUAUCGGCACAAGUUUGGCAUGCGUCUGAUUAGCUUGUUGGUAGGGUAACGGCCUACCAAGGCUACGAUCAGUAGGGGUUCUGAGAGGAUUAACCCCCACACUGGUACUGAGACACGGACCAGACUCCUACGGGAGGCAGCAGUGAGGAAUAUUGGUCAAUGGGCGGAAGCCUGAACCAGCCAUCCCGCGUGAAGGAGACAGCCUUACGGGUUGUAAACUUCUUUUCUGUCAGAAGAAUAAGCUUGUCGAGACGAGUGAUGCCGGUAUGACAGGAAUAAGCAUCGGCUAACUCCGUGCCAGCAGCCGCGGU